GUCCUAGCUGUAAACGGUGGGCACUAGGUGUAGGAGGCAUCGACCCCUCCUGUGCCGUAGCUAACGCAUUAAGUGCCCCGCCUGGGGAGUACGACCGCAAGGUUGAAACUCAAAGGAAUUGACGGGGGCCCGCACAAGCGGUGGAGCAUGUGGUUUAAUUCGAUGCAACGCGAAGAACCUUACCCAGGUUUGACAUGCAUUGGACAGGUGUGGAAACACACCCUCCCUUCGGGGGUCAUGCACAGGUGCUGCAUGGCUGUCGU
rnacentral:rRNA from 1 species